rnacentral:rRNA from 1 species
UCCUCCCUCUUUCUUCGUGCUUAACACAUGCAAGUCGAACGGAAAGGCCCUGCUUGCAGGGUACUCGCGUGGCGCAAGGGUGUGUAAAACGUGGGAGAACUGCCCUGUACUUCGGGGUAAGCCUGGGAAACUGGGUCUCAUACAGGGAAGGAGCCAUUCUUCGGGAGAUGGUUGGAAGGAAUUUUUGGUGUAGGAUGGGCGCGCGGCCUAUUAGCUUGUUGGUUGGGUAAUGGCCUACCAAGGCGGCGAUGGGUAGCCGGCCUGGGAGGGGGGACGGCCACAAUGGGACUGGGAUACGGGCCAGAAUUCUACCGGAGGCAGCAGGGGGGAAUAUUGCACAAUGGGCGCAAGCCUGAUGCAGCGACGCCGCGGUGGGGAUUACGGCCUUUGGGUUGUAAACUCCUUUCGCUAGGGACGAAGCUUUUUGUGACGGUACCUAGUAAAGAAGCACCGGCUAACUACGUG